rnacentral:lncRNA from 1 species
CCGUCGGUGGAGCCCGGCUCCCGUAGGAGUCCGGGCGGAGCUGUGCUGAUGUCGGUGGAGCCCGGCUCCCGUAGGAGUCCGGGCGGAGCUGUGCUGAUGUCGUCUCCGCCGUGGGUUCCGGCUGUGGGUAUUUUAUACCCAACAAUAAGCAUCACUGAAACUCCUUUCAGUAGAUCGAAAUAGUUCCACUCUAACUCGACCAGGAUCAUUGAUCCAAAACAAUCCUAUUGAGCUUUCACAAUCCAUCAGUGACACCUAUCAAUAUGUAGUGACAACCCAGCAGAACCGAAAUAGAAUCUCUAAGUAUAGUUAAUUUAUGAUACUGUUCCUCUAUCGUGAGUCCCGACUAGAUGACAGAUUAUAGAUAAAACAUCAAAUCUCAUCAUCAGUCAUAUGAUAGAUCCGAUCAGCUCAAAUCCAAUAAUGAUUCCAAAUAGAAACUCUUUUCUAUCUAUCACACUACUAUGACCAUAGACUUGUGAACUCAGCUUUUCAAAUCUCAUAAGACUGCUCUUCUCUAUCAAGAUCGAUAAAUCCCAUAUAAAUACACGCGUUGCCCGUAUAGCUCAACCAACUGAAGCCAACAUCCACUACAAAAAUUCAUGAUCGAGUUAAUAUUUGUGUAGUUAAACUAUAGCAGUCUUACUGUGAACAACUGUGAUACCGCAGGUUAAAGGACCAAUCACACAACUGCAGCAUCGAAAUAAUCACUGACAAUCGAAUAGAAAUCUAUAUGAUCUCUCAUAUGGUCAUGCUCAAUACUAAUUGUUCUCUAACAACUAUCCACACUUGCCGCUCAGUGUCUCUACACCGUAAACUAGAGACUUAUCUAACUCGAAGGAAGUGAACCGUGUGCUGGUCUAUCUAAAUCGAUCACCGUCCCUAUGACUAUCCUAUGAUCGGGAGCAAUUUAGGAAUCGAUCAUACAUACUUCUAAUUCUCAAUACUUGAGAAUAUGUAUCGUAACAUCAAUUCCAAGAACGAUUCAAGGACACAUAACACUUAAAUAAAAAAUAAAAACUUAUCCUUUAUUGAUUAAAUCAAUAGUUUAAGUACAAAUAUGUUUCAUAGAACAAAAAAUGUGUCACCCAACAAUUGAUUUCUAGGAUAUACAUCUAACACUUUUUCACUUUCUCUCUUCUUAAAACUCCAACCAAAUAAGAGACCCCUUGUCUACUUUUCAGGAAGUGCCUCUUCCCCCCUCUACUUCUCCAACCAAACGAGUCCUUAGAUUAUCUGUUCAAGUAGUAUUUUGUUUUUUCCUCCCUCUCUUGGCAAUCAAUUCAUCGUCAUGCAAUUAUUACUAAUUUUAAUCUACCUAGGUGGAUUCCAUUGUCCUACCAAGAAAACCCAAGGAACAAAAAUCUUAAAUUGGAAAAAGAUUGCCUAAGCAUUAUUCUCUAUUUUAGGAUAUUUUUGCUAUAGAUUUUUCAGCCUAGGAAACGAGUCAACCCAAAGAAUUCUUAGUAGGUCUCAUUGCUCAUGGGUCAUAAAUAAACUACACAAAGAAAGUCCAUGGACACAACAAAUCAACCUGCAGUUCCAGUUUAUCAAAAUCUUCCAUUCUAGAGUUGAGAAAUGAAGAUAAUCCCAGAAAGUAGGAUGAGAACAUAUGGAAAGCAUUUUCUGAUCACAGGAAAUGUUCAAUAUGUGCAAGAGG